AUUGAACGCUAGCGGGAUGCCUUACACAUGCCAGUCGAACGGCAGCGCGGACUUCGGUCUCGCGGCGAGUGGCGAACGGGCGAGUAAUGUAUCGGAACGUGCCCAGCAACGGGGGAUAACUACGCGAAGGCGUAGCUAAUACCGUAAACGCCCUACGGGGGAAAGCAGGGGAUCGUAAGACCUUGCACUAUUGGAGCGGCCGAUAUCGGAUUAGCUAGUUGGUGAGGUAACGGCUCACCAAGGCGACGAUCCGUAGCUGGUUUGAGAGGACGACCAGCCACACUGGGACUGAGACACGGCCCAGACUCCUACGGGAGGCAGCAGUGGGGAAUAUUGGACAAUGGGGGCAAGCCUGAUCCAGCCAUCCCGCGUGUGUGAUGAAGGCCUUCGGGUUGUAAAGCACUUUUGGUAGGAAAGAAACGCCGCGGGCUAAUACCCCGUGGAACUGACGGUACCUGAAGAAUAAGCACCGGCUAACUACGUG
rnacentral:rRNA from 1 species